UACGAAGGGGGCUAGCGUUGCUCGGAAUCACUGGGCGUAAAGCGCACGUAGGCGGAUUGUUAAGUCAGGGGUGAAAUCCUGGAGCUCAACUCCAGAACUGCCUUUGAUACUGGCGAUCUUGAGUCCGGGAGAGGUGAGUGGAACUGCGAGUGUAGAGGUGAAAUUCGUAGAUAUUCGCAAGAACACCAGUGGCGAAGGCGGCUACCUGGACCAGCACUGACACUGAGGCACGAAAGCGUGGGGAGCAAACAGG
rnacentral:rRNA from 1 species